AUGAGGGGGACAUCACACACCCAGGAACUAGAGUCUGAACUGCAAGAUAGUUUGGACCAGAAGAAGCCCGAUGACGAGCUACCCACUCCUGCCACCCCAAAGCAGGCAAAGGGUGUUUUAGCAGAAGCAGAAAAGGACCAGAAUAAGCUAAAGGUGGAGCCAAAGAAAAGAGUGUUACCUGCGUGGAUGAUGGUACCUGUUGCAUUUUUGACGAGCCCGUCCACCUCUAAAGGAGCUGGAAAUAGAGGCGUAAGAAUUGCGACACCAAUGACGAACACCAACCAGGUUACAGCCAAACGAGGGAGGGCUACAGCGCCAUCAUCGGGGGAGGAGUCUGAACACAGUGAGGCGGAGCCAGUGCCCAGGAAGCGGAUAAGGCGGAUAAAUAGCGAGGAGGAUGAGGAAGGCGGGGUGGUCCAGUCUAAAGCAGCAUUGAAAGCCCGGCAGCAAGUGAAGCCCAGCAACUUUGAGGACAGCGAGGAAUCGGACCACUCUGUGAUGGAGGUGGAUGAGGAUGGAGAGAAGAGAAGUGGGGAGGACGUUUCUGCAGCCAACGACAGCAGCCCCUCCACAAGUGGAGUGAAGCACAGUGAAGCCAAAAACAAGGGGAGGGACCCUAAGAAUGCUCAGAAGGUCAGCAAGGCGGAGCAUCAGGGGUCAGGUGCCAUUUCAGGCCCUGCCCAGUCCAAACCUCCUCUCCGGACGCCCUGCCAGUAUGGAAAACACUGUUACAGGUACAUCCCCACAAGAGUCUGA
rnacentral:lncRNA from 1 species